GACCUCGUAGCUCAGUUGCUAGAGCAUUAAUUGGAGUAGCAUCCCAAAGGUCGCGGUUUCGAUUCCCACCGUGGUCA